AACGAACGCUGGCGGCAUGCCUAACACAUGCAGGUCGAACGAGACCUUCGGGUCUAGUGGCGCACGGGUGCGUAACGCGUGGGAAUCUGCCCUUGGGUUCGGAAUAACAGUGAGAAAUUACUGCUAAUACCGGAUGAUGACGAAAGUCCAAAGAUUUAUCGCCCAAGGAUGAGCCCGCGUAGGAUUAGCUAGUUGGUAAG
rnacentral:rRNA from 1 species